rnacentral:lncRNA from 1 species
AAAGUAGCUUCAACGUGGUCUGUUGCGUUCCUGGUGCCAAAAAUAUAGGGGAAUGGUGUGACGUCCGUCACACCAUGUGUGACGCUCGUCACAGGAGUGUGCAAAGCGUGACGCUCGUCACAGCCUUUGUGACGCUCGUCACAGGCACAGCGCCUGUGCUUUUUGGGCUGGGCUUUGGCUUUUGAUAUUUGCUUCUUUUCAUUCCUU